CAUCAUAUUUGCGUCUCAUGUUUACGUGUAAAACAUGGCGGCGGACUACCAACAAGGAGACAGCACCACCUAGUAAAUGCGACUGGCAGCAAGCUGGAAGACAGACGAGAGACAUAUUUAACCGUUAGUUUUUAAUAUUGUUCUUGCCGAUAUUUCGCAUGAAGAAGUUUCCCUCUUGUUUCAGCCACAGGGACCGCGGUGAUGGAAGACGAGGAGAGGCAAAAGAAGCUGGAGGCCGGCAAAGCAAAGUUGGCUGAAUACCGUCAGAGAAAAGCUCACGUGACUCCCAGAAGAAAAAGAAGAAGAAAAAGAAGCCGGGAGAAGACUCUGAGGGGGAUUCGCAGGGAAAGGUGGAGGUCGAGGCGGAUCAGUCUGUGGGAGGAGAGGAGGUCUUAGGCCAAGGAAGAGAUGGAUCACAAGAAGGAACAGCCACAGAGUUCACCUACCAGGACGCUGCGGAGUGGAGAGACUGUCGAGCAUAACCAGACCUACACCAUAGAGCCAGAAAGUGAAGUGUCCACUACUGCUGAAGAUUAUUCCACGGAGGUAAAUGGGUGCCAUGAUGAAAUGACAGAGAACCUAAGGAUGCCUUCGAAGGAUUUUAUUUGGG